GUGGUGUAGUGGUUAAGUUCACACGUGUUGCCUCAGUGUCCUGGAGCUCACAGCUUUGGAUCCCGGGCACAGACCUAACAGUGCUCAUCAAGCCAUGCUGUGGAAGCAUCCCACACAAAGUAGAGGAAGAUAGGCACAGAUGUUAGCUCAGCAGCAAUCUUCCUCAAGAAAAAAGAGGAAGAUUGGCAAUAGACGUUAGCUGAGGGCCAGUCUUCCUUACAGAAAAAAAGGCUCCUCUGGGCAGAGGUCAGAAGCUGGAUCUCCCAGCCUCCCUUGCAGGCACAGGCACCUUAUUGGCACCACCAAGCAGACACAGGUGUGAAUUGUUAACUCAAAAAUCAGUGGCACAAGCAUCAAAUCAGAAGCAGGAAUCUGUGGAGUCCAUCUGCUGAGGUAGACGGUCAAGUGGUGACAUCUGGUGUUCAGUGACAGCAGCAUGAGUUGAGCCAGUGUGCAUGGGCCACGCUGUGGUAUCUGAAUGGGAACAAGGCCUCUGAUGUGGUUCAGGUAUGGCUCACAUGUGGUUUAGGUGUGGUUGAAGCGUGGUUCAGGUGUGGUUCAAGUGUGGCACAUAUGUGGUUCAGGCAUGGCUCAGUCAUGGCUCAAGUGUGGCUCAGGUGUGGCUGAUGCAUGGUUCAGGCAUACUCACAAGGUCCAGCUGUGGCUGACACAAGGUUCAGAAGUGGCUGACACGUGGUUCAGGCAUGGCUGGCAUGUGAUUAAGGUGUGGCUGGCAUGUGGUUCAGGAGUAGCUGAAACAUGGUUCAGGCGUGGCCCGCACACAACUCAGGUGUGGCUUGUAUGUGUUUCAGGCAUGGUUUGCACAUGAAUCAGAGGUGGCUGACAUGUGGUUAAGGCAUGGCUCACAGUGACAGGCAUGGGUGACAUGUGUUUCAGGUGUGGGUGACAUGUUUCAGGAGUGACUGACACGUGGUUAAGGCAUGGCUGACACGUGACUCAGGCGUGGCUCACAUGUGACUAAGGGGUGGUAUACACAUGACUCAGGCGUGACUGGCACAUGGUUCAAGCAUGGCUGACACGUGGUUCAGACGUGGCUGGCACGUGAAUCAUGCAUGGCUGACACAUGACUCAGGCAUGGCUCACACGUGACUCAGGCAUUCAUCACACAUUAUCCAUGUGUGGCAGACAUGUGCUCACGUGUGUGUGACAUGCCAUACAUGUGUGGCUCCCACGUGACUCACACGUUGCUGAAAUGUGGCUCCCACAUACUCAUUCAUGGCUGGCACGUGGCUCAUGCAUGGUUCAGCUGUGUUUCAUGUGUGGCUCCCCUGUGGUUCCUGUGUGGUUCAAGCAUCGGACAUGUGUGUUUCACAUGUAGCUCAGAUGUGGUUCAAGGGUGUCUCACAUGUGGUUCAUGCAUGGUUCAAGUGUGGCUCACACAUGGUUCAGGUGUAAUUCAGGCGUGGCUAACACACGACUCAUGUGGGUCACACAUGGUAGAGGACACUUUCACACGUGAUUUAGGCAUAGCUCAGACAUGGCUCACAUGUGAUGCAAGCAUGCCACAGAACUGGCUCACAUGUGGCUGGCACAUGAUUCAGGCUUUUGUCAUGCAUGGCUCACACAUGGCUCAGGUGUGGCUCAUGCAUGACUGUGGUGUUGCUCAGGCGUGACUCACAUGUGUUUGUGGCAUGCUUGGCACGUGGUUCAGGCAUGGCUGACACGUGCUUCAAGUGAGGCUGACCUGUGGUUCAAGUGUGACUGGCACUUGGUUCAGGCCUGGCUGGCACGUGACUUCGGCAUGGCUGAGACGUGACUCAGGCAUGGCACACACGUUAUUCAGGAGUGGCCGGCACAUGACUCAGGUGAGGUGGCCACAUGACACAGGUGUGCCUGACACGUCACAUAGGUGUGGUUCGCACAUGGUUCAUGCAUGGCCUUUGUGUGGUUCAGGGGUGACUGGUGCAUGGUUCAAGCAUGGGUGGCAGGUGGUUCAGGCGUGGCUGACAUGUGACUCAGGCAUAUGUGAAAUAUGACUCCAGUGUGGCUGACACAUGUCUCAGGCAUGGCUGACACGUGACUCAGGCAUUCAUCGCACAGUAUCCAUACGUGGCAGAUGUUUGCUUCACAUAUGGUGACAUGGCAUUCAUAUGUGGCUCCCACGUGACUCACACGUUGCUGACACGUGGCUCCCACAUACUCUGGCGUGUCUGGCAUGUGGCUCACGCAUGGCUCAGCCAUGUUUCAUGUGUGGUUCCCAUGUGCCUCAUGUGUGGUUCAAGCAUUGAACAUGCGUGCUUCACACGUGGUUCACAUGUGGUUCGAGUGUGUCACAUGUGGUUCAGGCAUGGUUCAGGGAGGCUCACACAUGGUUCAGGUGUAACUCAGGUGUGGCUCACACAUGGCCCAUGUCGAGGUCUCAUAUAGUUCAGGAGGGUUUCACCCGUGAUUCAGGCAUGGCUCACAGGUGGUUCAGCCAUGGCUCAGCCAUGGCUCACACGUAGUUCAGGCGUUCCUCAUACUGGGGUCAGGUGUGGCUGACACAUGAUUCAGGAGUUUGUCACACCUGGCUAACACAUGUCUCAGGUGAGGCUCACAAAUGGCUGGGGCGUUGCUCCAGCCUUGCUCACACGUGGCUCUGGCAUUGUUGGCACGUGGCUCAGGCAUGGCUGACACGAGACUCAGGUGUUUCUGACACGUGUCUCGGUCAUGGCACACAUUUUGUUCAGGUGUGGCUGAUGCGUGGUUCAGGCAUGGGUGACUGGUGGUUAGGGCAUGGCUGACAUGUGACUCAGGCAUGUGUGAAACAUGCCGGGUGUUGGUGACAUGUGACUCAGGCGUGGCUGACAUGUGGCUCAGGUGUGGCUACAACGUGACUCAUGUGUCAUUCAAACGUGAUUCAGGCUGCUUGUGUGGCAUGUUCUUCAGCCCUGGCUCACAUGUGACUCAGGCAUGGCUGACGUCUGGUGCAGGAGUGGCUGGAACGUGACUCAUGUGUGGCUCAAUGGUCAUUCAGGCAUGUCUGGCAUGUGAUUCAGUUGUCACUGACACUUGACCUAGGCAUGGUUGACACGUGACUCAGCUGUGGAUGACACGUGACUCAGGCAUGUCUUGCACGUGGUGUAGGUGUGGCUGACUCAUCACUCAGGCAUGGUUCACACGUGACUUAGUUGUGCCUGACUUGUGAUUCAGGCUUGGCUCACACAUUGUUCAGGUGUGCCUGAUACGUGGUUCAGGCAUGGCUGGCAUGGGGCUCAGGUGUGGCUGGUGUGAGGUUCUGGUGUGGCUGGCGCAUGGGGUAGCAAUGGGGGACAGGCGGUUCAAGUGUUGGUGACACAUGGCUCAGACGUGGCUGACAUGUGGCUUAUGUGUGAGUCCAGUGUGGCUGACAUGUGGUUCAGGUGUGGCUGGCUUGUGGUUCAGAUGUGGAUGGCAUGUGGUUCAAGCAAGGCUGUACCAAGGUCAAGAGAUGUUGGCUCAUUAUUCAGGGUCCACUGGCACAAGGUAAGCACAUGGCUCACAUGUGGUUCCAUCGUGUGCUGUUAGUGCUUUCAGAGUGUCGAGGU
ensembl:lncRNA